rnacentral:rRNA from 1 species
GAGUUUGAUCCUGGCUCAGAUUGAACGCUGGCGGCAUGCUUUACACAUGCAAGUCGAACGGCAGCAUGACCUAGCUUGCUAGGUUGAUGGCGAGUGGCGAACGGGUGAGUAAUACAUCGGAACGUACCCAAUAGUGGGGGAUAACGCAGCGAAAGCUGUGCUAAUACCGCAUACGUCCUACGGGAGAAAGCGGGGGAUCUUCGGACCUCGCGCUAAUGGAGCGGCCGAUGUCAGAUUAGCUAGUUGGUGGGGUAAAGGCCCACCAAGGCGACGAUCUGUAGCUGGUCUGAGAGGAUGAUCAGCCACACUGGGACUGAGACACGGCCCAGACUCCUACGGGAGGCAGCAGUGGGGAAUUUUGGACAAUGGGGGCAACCCUGAUCCAGCCAUGCCGCGUGAGUGAAGAAGGCCCU